rnacentral:rRNA from 1 species
UGGGGAAUCUUGCGCAAUGGCCGAAAGGCUGACGCAGCGACGCCGCGUGUGGGAGGACGCCUUCGGGGUGUAAACCACUGUUGCCCGGGACGAACAUCCCUUUUCGAAGGGACUGACGGUACCGGGUGAGGAAGCACCGGCUAACUCCGUGCCAGCAGCCGCGGUAAUACGGAGGGUGCGAGCGUUGUCCGGAAUCACUGGGCGUAAAGGGCGCGUAGGUGGCACGGGUCGUCGUCGGUGAAAGCUCAGGGCUCAACCCUGAGUCGGCCGGCGAUACUCCCGAGCUCGAGUGUGGUAGGGGCCAAUGGAAUUCCGGGUGUAGCGGUGGAAUGCGUAGAGAUCCCGGAAGAACACCGGUGGCGAAGGCGGUUGGCUGGGCCACAACUGACACUGAUGCGCGACAGCGUGGGGAGCAAACA